rnacentral:rRNA from 1 species
UACGUAGGGUGCGAGCGUUAAUCGGAAUUACUGGGCGUAAAGCGUGCGCAGGCGGUUUUGUAAGCCAGAUGUGAAAUCCCCGGGCUUAACCUGGGAAUGGCAUUUGGGACUGCAAGGCUUGAGUGCGGCAGAGGAGACUAGAAUCCCUGGUGUAGCAGUGAAAUGCGUAGAUAUCAGGAGGAAUACCGAUGGCGAAGGCAGGUCUCUGGGCUGACACUGACGCUCAUGCACGAAAGCGUGGGGAGCAAACAGG